rnacentral:sRNA from 1 species
GAUGAGAAAGGAAACCAUCACUAAGAUGCUCUGGAGUACCCGCACCCUGUUGGUGAGGGACCCAGCUGGCAGGGAUGCUCAGUUCAGACAGGGUUGACCCCCCCGUUUUUUUUAACCUAGUAGCUGCUCUUUGCAAAGGGGCUCCCAGCCAGGGUAAGGAUCUUUCUUGGAGGGUCUGGGGUUUGGUGUGGGAUCAGAUGACUGCUUACAGGUAAGGUGCUCAGGGUCAUGGGGCAGUUACGCAGCAAAAUCAGGGGUUACAAUCAGCAGAGACAGAAACUUUCCCAGGAAGCUCCCUUUUUUCCCCCUCCCAGGCCAAAAACUCCUGGGGGGGCUGAGCCAAGUCACUGGUGGGCCCACCUCUGGCCCAGCUGGCACCCAGGCCUCAGGUAAGUGUGCCCUCCCCACCCAGAAUAUCACCAAGGAGCAGGUACCACUUGUGGUGGAGGAGUACCUGGACAAUGUCAAUGAGCAUGACUGGAAGAUGCUACGAAACCGUAUGAUGGACAUAGUUCAAGAUGCCACUUUCGUGUAUGCCACGCUGCAGACUGCUCACUACCACCGAGAUGCCAGCCUCCCUGUCUACCUGUAUGAAUUUGAGCACCACGCUCGUGGAAUAAUCGUCAAACCCCGCACUGAUGGGGCAGACCAUGGGGAUGAGAUGUACCUCCUCUUUGGGGGCCCCUUCGCCACAGGUGCAAAGGCCCCACCUGAUACCCCGACUGGGUGUCCAGUCUCCCACCUCUGGAUGCAGACCCACCCUCCAUCAGCUGGCCACAGGGAGCUCACCAAUUCCUGAUCUGUGAUGCUCUCCCAAAUGAAAGUCUUCUGCUCCGGAAGCAGCAGAAGCAGCAGGAGUAGGGUGGGAGG